rnacentral:rRNA from 1 species
UACAGAGGUCCCAAGCGUUGUUCGGAUUCACUGGGCGUAAGGGGUGCGUAGGUGGUGAGGUAAGUCGGAUGUGAAAGCUCCGAGCUCAACUCGGAAAUGGCAUUGGAAACUACCUUGCUAGAGGGUUUGAGGGGGGACUGGAAUACUUGGUGUAGCAGUGAAAUGCGUAGAUAUCAAGUGGAACACCAGUGGCGAAGGCGAGUCCCUGGAAAACUCCUGACACUGAGGCACGAAAGCUAGGGGAGCAAACAGG